AACGAACGCUGGCGGCAUGCCUUACACAUGCAAGUCGAACGAGACCUUCGGGCCUAGUGGUGCACGGGUGCGUAACGCGUGGGAACCUGCCCUUAGGUUCGGAAUCACGCCCCGAAAGGGGUGCUAAUACCGGCUAAUGUCUCAGGCCCAAAUUUUUAACGCCGUUGGAUGGGCCCGAGUUGGCUUAAUUAGUUGGUAGGGUAAAAGCCUACCAAGGCGACGAUCGAUAGCUUGUCUGAGAGGAUGAUCAGCCACUCUGGGACUGAGACACGGCCCAGACUCCUACGGGAGGCAGCAGUGGGGAAUAUUGGACAAUGGGCGAAAGCCUGAUCCAGCAAGGCCGCGUGAGUGAUGAAGGCCUUAGGGUUGUAAAGCUCUUUUACCCGGGAUGAUAAUGACAGUACCGGGAGAAUAAGCACCGGCUAACUCCGUG
rnacentral:rRNA from 1 species